UUGGACUGACGUCACUGGUGAAUACAGCGUGAGCGCGCAUUUUCUAAUGGCUGCUGAUCACUAUUGCAGAAAGAUCAGAGCAAGGCCAAACAGGAUGAGAUGAAAAUGUGUAUCAAUAAUUCAACCAAAUAGUGUGGAAGAAUUUUAAGCAAGAAUUAUAUUGGUCUCUUGAUCAUCACUGCCCACAGCUGAUUCAGAUCUUCAGGUCUAAGUGAGGAUUCACUGGACAGAUUUUUAUCUUCUACAAAAUAUCAAGGCGUCUGACCUCACUGACAUGCCAUGUGUUGCCGUUUGAGUGCUUCCAGUAGUUGUUGGUGAUGACCCAACAGUUCUUCAAAGCAUGUUUUGCUUCAGAUGAUGGAGACUCAAAUCAACAUGUGCCCGUUGGAAUUCUUAACUGAGAAAAUGAAGAUGUGGCACUGCAACCCCUGUCCUUCCACCUCCACCCAUCCGCUGUGGGAAUCAUCUUGGAGGGAAAUGUUGUAAUGGACAAUAUAGACAAUAUACCCCAGGCCAAGUGUCUUUUUGGAUCAACCUAUGCACUGCACCUAGGCUACACAAAAUGCAUGGACAAUACCAUUCUUUUUAUUCAACAAGUUUGGGUAAGAAGACGCUGUAGGGUAAGAUUCUGGCUGUUAAAAAUCAACUUGUCAUGUAAACUGGUACAGAAAAAGCAUGCUCCUUCAGGCUUGCUGUCCUAACUGUGAGAUAAAAUAAAUUAAAACUAUGCUUUAGUGUUUGGCAAGUGUAAAUAUUCCAUAAUGUUACAAUGUAAUAAUAUCCUGUGGUUGUUUAUUAUUUGGAUAUGUUUGUAAAAAUUUAUUAAAAUAUUUUAAACGGGUGUUUUAAUGAAAUUUAUAAAAAUAAAUAUUGACUAAUUGUUAUACAAGGCAUUUUCUUGUUUUGUCACUUGUUUCAGAGUAAUAUUUCU